rnacentral:rRNA from 1 species
AGGGGAUCUUCGGACCUUUCGCUAUGAGAUGAGCCUGCGUUAGAUUAGCUAGUUGGUAGGGUAAAGGCCUACCAAGGCGACGAUCUAUAGCUGGUCUGAGAGGACGAUCAGCCACACUGGGACUGAGACACGGCCCAGACUCCUACGGGAGGCAGCAGUGGGGAAUAUUGGACAAUGGGCGAAAGCCUGAUCCAGCAAUACCGCGUGUGUGAAGAAGGCCUUAGGGUUGUAAAGCACUUUCAAUUGGGAGGAAAACCUGUCGGUCAAUACCCGGUAGCUUGACAUUACCUUUAGAAGAAGCACCGGCUAACUCCGUGCCAGCAGCCGCGGUAAUACGGAGGGUGCGAGCGUUAAUCGGAAUUACUGGGCGUAAAGCGUGCGUAGGCGGUUAGUUAAGUCAGAUGUGAAAGCCCCGGGCUUAACCUGGGAACUGCAUUUGAUACUGGCUAACUAGAGUUUAAGAGAGGGGAGUGGAAUUUCAGGUGUAGCGGUGAAAUGCGUAGAGAUCUGAAGGAACACCAGUGGCGAAGGCGACUCCCUGGCUUAAAACUGACGCUGAGGUACGAAAGCGUGGGUAGCAAACAGGAUUAGAUACCCUGGUAGUCCACGCCGUAAACGAUGUCGACUAGC